rnacentral:rRNA from 1 species
GACGAACGCUGGCGGCGUGCUUAACACAUGCAAGUCGACCGGAAAGGCCCUGCUUUUGUGGGGUGCUCGAGUGGCGAACGGGUGAGUAACACGUGAGUAACCUGCCCUUGACUUUGGGAUAACUUCAGGAAACUGGGGCUAAUACCGGAUAGGAGCUCCUGCUGCAUGGUGUGGGUUGGAAAGUUUCGGCGGUUGGGGAUGGACUCGCGGCUUAUCAGCUUGUUGGUGGGGUAGUGGCUUACCAAGGCUUCGACGGGUAGCCGGCCUGCGAGGGUGACCGGCCACAUUGGGACUGAGAUACGGCCCAGACUCCUACGGGAGGCAGCAGUGGGGAAUAUUGCACAAUGGGCGGAAGCCUGAUGCAGCAACGCCGCGUGCGGGAUGACGGCCUUCGGGUUGUAAACCGCUUUCGCCUGUGACGAAGCGUGAGUGACGGUAAUGGGUAAAGAAGCACCGGCUAACUACGUG